AUGCGGGUGAUUGCAUAUGGCGUUCCGGCUGACUAUGCCGAUGAGUAUCUUCGCAUUGGUGAAGAUAGCACAAUUGAGUCUGUGCGUAGAUUUGCGAAAGUGAUCGCCCGUGUCUUUGGUCCCGAGUAUCUUCGGGCACCAAAUGAAGAUGACACAAAGAAAUUGAUGGCAGCUAAUGAGAGGAGAGGUUGGCCUGGGAUGUUAGGUAGCAUUGAUUGUAUGAAUUGGAAUUGUAAAAAUUGCCCCAAGGCUUGGCAAGGAAUGUAUUGUGGCAAGUCUCGUGAUGCAACAAUUGUUCUAGAGGCCGUAGCAUCCGAGGAUUUAUGGAUUUGGCAUUGCUUUUUUGGUAUUCCCGGCACACUCAAUGAUAUCAAUGUGUUGCAACUCUCUCAUUUGUUUGCUAGGCUUGCUAGUGGUGAUGCUCCUGCUUGCAACUACACUAUCAAUGGGCAUGAAUACACAAAGGGGGUACUAAAAACAAUGUGA
rnacentral:rRNA from 1 species